AGGCAUCGUUCUAACAUUAACUUUUUUUUGGCAGAUUAUAGAUUUAUCAUCAUUUAAAAUGAUUCUAAUGGAUUAAUUUUGGUGACAGUAUG